UACGGGGGGGGCAAGCGUUGUUCGGAAUUACUGGGCGUAAAGGGCUUGUAGGUGGCCAACUAAGUCAGACGUGAAAUCCCUCGGCUUAACCGGGGUACUGCGUCUGAUACUGGAUGGCUCGAGUCCGGAAGAGGCGAGUGGAAUUCCCGGUGUAGCGGUGAAAUGCGCAGAUAUCGGGAGGAACACCAAUGGCGAAGGCAGCUCGCUGGGACGGUACUGACGCUGAGACGCGAAAGCGUGGGGAGCAAACAGG
rnacentral:rRNA from 1 species